CCAGACUCCUACGGGAGGCAGCAGUGGGGAAUAUUGCACAAUGGGGGAAACCCUGAUGCAGCGACGCCGCGUGAGUGAAGAAGUAAUCCGUUAUGUAAAGCUCUAUCAGCAGGGAAGAAAAUGACGGUACCUGAGUAAGAAGCCCCGGCUAACUACGUGCCAGCAGCCGCGGUAAUACGUAGGGGGCAAGCGUUAUCCGGAUUUACUGGGUGUAAAGGGAGCGUAGACGGCAGUGCAAGUCUGGAGUGAAAGGCGGGGGCUCAACCCCCGGACUGCGCUGGAAACUGUACGGCUGGAGUGCAGGAGAGGUAAGUGGAAUUCCUAGUGUAGCGGUGAAAUGCGUAGAUAUUAGGAGGAACACCAGUGGCGAAGGCGGCUUACUGGACUGUAACUGACGUUGAGGCUCGAAAGCGUGGGGAGCGAACAGGAUUAGAUACCCCGGUAGU
rnacentral:rRNA from 1 species